rnacentral:rRNA from 1 species
CACUGCCCGGUAGCUAAAUGCGGAAGAGAUAAGUGCUGAAAGCAUCUAAGCACGAAACUUGCCCCGAGAUGAGUUCUCCCUGACUCCUUGAGAGUCCUGAAGGAACGUUGAAGACGACGACGUUGAUAGGCCGGGUGUGUAAGCGCAGCGAUGCGUUGAGCUAACCGGUACUAAUGAACCGUGAGGCUUAACCUUACAACGCCGAAG